GACGAACGCUGGCGGCGUGCCUAACACAUGCAAGUCGAGCGGGGAGGAGGAAGCUUGCUUCCGAAUCCUAGCGGCGGACGGGUGAGUAACGCGUGAGCAACCUGCCUUGAACUGGGGGAUAACGCAUCGAAAGAUGUGCUAAUACCGCGUAAGACCACAGUACCGCAUGGUACAGGGGUCAAAGGAGCAAUCCGGUUUAAGAUGGGCUCGCGUCCGAUUAGCUAGUUGGUGAGAUAACAGCCCACCAAGGCAACGAUCGGUAGCCGACCUGAGAGGGUGAUCGGCCACAUUGGAACUGAGACACGGUCCAGACUCCUACGGGAGGCAGCAGUGGGGAAUAUUGGGCAAUGGGCGAAAGCCUGACCCAGCAACGCCGCGUGAGGAAGAAGGGUUUCGGCUCGGUAAACCUCGUGUCCUAUGGGACGAAGAAGUGACGGUACCAUAGG
rnacentral:rRNA from 1 species